GUUCGUUUUUCUGAGUAAUAUGGAAAUGGCACGGCUCAGCCACACAAGGGCCUGGGCAAAGGUCACGGCCAGCAAAGAACACAGCCUGGGUCCUCUGAGUCCCGAGUCCACGCGAUCCUGACCCGUCCACCACCCUCCUCGAGACACGACAAGUUAGGCGGGAACAUAACCUGGGAGCCCCAUGUCGGUUUCAGGCUCCACAAGGGAUCUCUGGGUAAAGGGUUUGUCUCUUCCACAUCUGUUCAUUUAGGAGAAGCAAAGAACAUGGAAAGCAGAAUUCCUGGGGGUGGCCUCAACCCCAAGCCCUGCCGAUGCAAACCGGCACCUUGAAGAUGCCUUUGGAAUUUAACUGGAAGAUUUGAAUGACAUGGGCAGACACAGAAGAGGGAGAAGCAUUCCACAGGGGAGGAAAGGCCUCAGUGGGGACCUAUGGAGCUCCCAGGCCCACCGCAGGGAGGCAGGUCCUCGGUCAUCUGCGGAGGGAGAACACUUUCAGUCGAAGGAGCCUGGGACCCUUGACACAGAAGUGACAUGUGCAUUCGGAACCUCUCUGUGGAAAACACAGACCCUUCAUGACACGCAAACUCGAAGCCGGUGAGGCCGAGUCUCAGGGCUGCGCCAACCAGGAAGCCUGGCUGUCCAAUGUUCCAAAUCUGGAUGUGAAAUGGACCAUGCAGACAGGACCCAAGGGGCAUGGGGGAGCUGGCAGAGGCACCCGGGACAAGUGGGGAAGCACCUGUCGGCCAGGAAGGUAGAGAGGCACCUACCCCAGAACACGGUGCCAGCGUCACACUCUUAUUAACAGAUGCAAUAACCACCUUCGGAGACCAGACCCCUCAAAGAGCACUCAGCCCACAAUGUGACGCAGAGAAACCAGAGACCCAGGCAGGGAGUGCACCCACGGGGACACUCCGAGGGUGGCCUCCUGCCUGCCCUGAUUACUUAAAAAGGAGAUUCUUGGAAACCUUUGCGGGCCCACAGGUGCACCCUGACUCCCAGGGAUGGGGGCUGAGCCACCCAGGAAACAAAUAUGAAAUCAAAGAUCCAGACAGCCCUGACCCUCCUGAUUCCAGGGUCCAUAAAUAAGUCAUUCUUAAAAUAGUGGUUGUUUUCUCUCUAUUUAAGAAGUGCUUCUUUUUUGAGUCCUUGUUCCCAACUUCCCUGGCAACUCAGUUUCCUGUUUCCUCCGGGAGGAAGGCAGAACUGCAGGAGAGGUGUCCCUCAUCUCCCCAGGGACGGAGGAACACAGUCCCCAACUCUCUGUGAUCAGCAGAGCCCAGAGAGCCCAGCCUCGUGUACCAAAAAGGUCUGGGAGCCCCAUUUUUCUUCAGAGGAAAUGUUAAUGCCCGAAUGUCACCAGCUCAUCGCCGACAAAGGCCUGAACACAAACGUCUCCAGGCAACAGCCCCGAGCAGUCACUCUGGAAGGUUACGUGAAGCUGCUGGCUCAGAUUUUAAAUCGUCUCACAUGUGGGUUGCCCCACCUACCCCAUCAACAAACACAGCUUCGCACUUCUGCAUCAGAGGCUGUGCUGGGUUCUGGGGACACGGAAGGCCCCCAGCUCUCAGGCCUGGUAAGAGAAAGAAAAACACGAAGACAUUCCAGCCGGCCCUUCCUGCGGGGGCCGAGGGCAGAGCCCCUGGUCUGUCUCUUGCUCCAUCCUCACCCGCCCCUAUGAGGUCAGCACUGCUGUUCCGUCCAGUUUCCAGAUAAGGAAACAAGACACAAAGUAACUUCACCCAAGGUCAAGAAGCCAGGAAGAGGUGAAGUCAGGCUGAAGCCCCUAUCAUGAACGCUCCUCCACGGUCUGGCUUCCCUAUAGGGGCAGAGCCCUCCUCCGAGCAGAGCAUGUGCCUCCCUCUCGUCCACCCCUCCCUCUCUCUGUCUCUCUCUCCAUCUGUGCCCUGGACUGGUCUCUAAGCUGGGGAUUGAGGGCCUGAGCGUCUGGGACGGCCACCCCCAGCUCUCUCUGGGCAGGCGUCCAGUAAGGAGCCCCUGCUAUUUGGGUCAGGGCUGGCCAGUGGUGCUGGGUCAGGACAGUUUCCAGGAAACGGCCUGUCCCGGGUUCCAGUCCUACCUGGCCUGUGGCUCAGAGAUCACAAACCUUUUGAAAGCCCCCGCCCACACCACUCCCGAUCCUGAUGCCUCCCCCUCCUGCAACACCUCAGUUCCUGUGCUUCUCACUCCACGGAUGGCUUCCGCCUCCCACAGCUGACUGAGCUCUCAGAUGGAGACCACAUGUUCCUUGCAGGCUCUAGUGCCCAGCCCGGGUCUGACGCAGAAGCUCCUCAGCACAAUAUGGAUGGUUGGAUGGGUGGGUGGAUGAACGGAUGAGUGAAUGGACACAUGGAUGUACAGGUGGGUGAGUAGACGAAUGAAUGGAUGGAUGGAUGGAUGGAUGGAUGGACAGGCGGGUGGAUUGAACAGGUGGGUGAGCGGAUGGAUGGAUGGACAAAUGGGUGAGUAGAUGAAUCGAUGGAUGGAUGGACAGGUGGGUGGAUGAACAGGUGGGUGAGUAGAUCAACGGAUGGAUGGAUGGAUGGACAGGUGGGUGGAUGAACAGGUGGGUGAGUAGAUCAACGGAUGGAUGGAUGGAUGGAUGGACAGAUGGAUGGACGGACAGGUGGGUGGAUGAAUAGGUGGGUGAGUAGAAUAACGGAUGGAUGGAUGGAUGGAUGGAUGGACGGACAGGUGGGUGGAUGAACAGGUGUGUGAGUAGAUUUGAGUAGAUUAAUGGAUGGAUGGAUGGAUGUAAGGAUGGAUGAUGGAUGGAUGGACAGGUGGGUGGAUGUACAGGUGGGUGAGUAGAUCAACGGAUGGAUGGAUGGAUAGAUGGACAGGUGGGUGGAUGAACAGGUGGGUGAGUAGAUCAACGGAUGGAUGGAUGGAUAGAUGGAUGGACGGACAGGUGGGUGGAUGAACAGGUGUGUGAGUAGAUUUGAGUAGAUUAAUGGAUGGAUGGAUGGACAGGUGGGUGGAUGUACAAGUGGGUGGGUGGAUGGAUAGAUGGAUGGAUGGACAGGUGGGUGGAUGAACAGGUGUGUGAGUAGAUUUGAGUAGAUUAGUGGAUGGAUGGAUGGAUGGAUGUAAGGAUGGAUGAUAGAUGGAUGGAUGGACAGCUGGGUGGAUGAACAAGUGGGUGGGUGGAUGGAUAGAUGGAUGGAUGGACAGGUGGAUGGACCGACAGAUGAUGGAUGGGUGGCUAUUAGAGGAGAGGAAGGAAGGGAAAAGUGAAUGAAAAAACGGAUGCCUGGAAGGAUGAAUGGAAGGAUGGCACUGCCUCUUUAAGGGCAUUGCAACAAAUAUCAAAAGCUGCUGGAGUGGCCACCCUUGGGACCCUCAGUUCCACAUUUAGGAACUUGAAGAAACAACGGGAUGACUAUGAAAAGAUGUAAAAAUAUUGUAAUAAUAUUCACCGAAGCACUGCCAGCAACAGAGGCUUUAUUAAAUAAACGACACUGAAAAGAUGUGUGUGUGUAAUAAUAUUCACCGAAGCACUGUCAGCAACAGAGGCUUUAUUAAAUAAACGACAAUGAAAAGAUGUGUGUGUGUAAUAAUAUUCACCGAAGCACUGUCAGCAAUACAGGCUUUAUUAAAUAAAUCACAGUCCUUCUCAACAACCUAACACCGUGUGGUCAUUAAAAAUGGUGGUGUAGAUACAUGUAACAAGGAAUAAAGGUGUUCACAGUGUUGCCAGUGAAAAUAGGGUGUCGAUGAAACUGUACAAUUUAAAAACACAACCAUAAAGUAAAUAACCUAGAGGCUAUGCACCGUAAGGCUAAUAGCAACUGUGGGGUGGAGAGGGGGUGGGGUUGGGGUCAUUUUCAUGUGUUUUUUUCUUUUUCUUUUGUUUUUUUUUUUUUGAUUACUUGUACUGACGUGUAUUUUCUAAUUUUCUAUAAUUACAUUGUAAAUCUGUGUAAUUUUAAAAAUGAGGCCGUUCAUCAUUGGAGAAAACACGACACGUACGCUUAAGGGCAGACUUAAGGCUCUUAACAUUUUUAAAGCAACCAAAAGAGGCAAAAUGUAGACUUUAAAACACAAAAAUGUGCUUUUCUGAGUGUGGCACAGACUCCAAGCCCACAACGUCUGAGGAAGCGUACGGGAUCAGAACCAGCAGCUCCGUUCACAGCCAAACUCGCCUUCAAAAGGCAAGGAGAUGGCGCGCCAAGCUCAGCCCCUGAAAUCACACACGCGGGGUUGAACGUGAGUAACUCAGCCCAUCGUUCCGCACUGUGAAUCUGCUCCAAUACCUGCAGAGACAGGUCCAGCUCCCACUACGAGGGCCCACCGACCAACACGGUACACCGAGGGUGAAAAAGCCACGACCAGGCCCACCUGGAAAACACCAUCAGCUCCUAGAAAUGCCACUUCCUUCCUCCUCCCGCCGCUCCGGGCCUCCCGAGCCAAGACAAGCGCAGGUUGGGACUUGCACGGGAAAGCUCACCUGAGA
rnacentral:lncRNA from 1 species